rnacentral:rRNA from 1 species
CGUGGCGGCGUGACCUAACACUAUGACAGUCGUACGAGUAAGUGGCGUCGGCCGAUGAGUAAGUGGCGCGACGGUGAGUAAUGCGUGGAUAAUCUGCCCUUUAGUUGGGAAUAACGUACCGAAAGGUGCGCUAAUACCUGAUAAUACUGCAUAACUACUGUUGUGUAGUCAAAGAAGGCCUCUGUUUACAAGCUUUUGCUGAAGGAUGAGUCCGCGUACCAUUAGCUGGUUGGUGGGGUAAUGGCCUACCAAGGCUACGAUGGUUAGCUGGUCUGAGAGGAUGAUCAGCCACACUGGAACUGAGACACGGUCCAGACUCCUACGGGAGGCAGCAGUGAGGAAUAUUGCGCAAUGGGGGCAACCCUGACGCAGCAACGCCGCGUGAGUGAGGAAGGUUUUCGGACCGUAAAGCUCUGUCGAGCGGGAAGAAAUGUAUCAUGGCUAAUAUCCAUGAUACUUGACGGUACCGCUAAAGGAAGCACCGGCUAACUCCGUG